AUUGAACGCUGGCGGCAGGCCUAACACAUGCAAGUCGAACGAGUGGCGGACGGGUGAGUAAUGUCUGGGAAACUGCCCGAUGGAGGGGGAUAACUACUGGAAACGGUAGCUAAUACCGCAUACCAUCGGAUGUGCCCAGAUGGGAUUAGCUAGUAGGUGGGGUAACGGCUCACCUAGGCGACGAUCCCUAGCUGGUCUGAGAGGAUGACAAGCCAAACUGGAACGGGGACACGGUCCACACUCCUACGGGGGGGAGGAGGGGGGAAUAUUGGACAAUGGGCGCAAGCCUGAUUCAGCCAUGGCGCGGGUAUGAAGAAGGCCUUCGGGUUUUAAAGUACUUUCAGCGAGGGGGCGUUACUCGCAGAAGAAGCACCGGCUUACUCCGUGCCAGCAGCCGCUGUAAUAC
rnacentral:rRNA from 1 species